AUGUCCACACAACACAAUUUGUAUUCAGUCAAGUGUGUAGAGGUUUUUGUACAGUCGCUCUAUUAUUUUGUAUCACUGUGGUGGACUUUCGGCAGCGGCACCAGACUGGAUGUUGGCAGUAUCAGUCCCCCUAAAGUGAGCGUCCUGCCGCCGUCCAGUGAAGAGAUUUCCACAAAGCAAGCAGCAACACUGAUGUGUGUGGCCAACAAGGGCUUCCCCUCAGACUGGAGUCUGAACUGGAAGGUGGACGGGAUCAGCAGCAGGUCUCAGUACAGCAGUGUUGCUCUCCUGGAGAAGGACGGUCUGUACAGCUGGAGCAGCAGUCUGACUCUCUCUGAGCAGGAGUGGAGCUCAGUGAUCUCAGUCAGCUGUGAGCUCACACAGAAAGACCAGCGUGAUAAAGUCACUGGAGAAUUGAGGAGAGAUCAGUGUUCACAGUAG